UUCCAUUUUGUGGGAAUUUCCAGAAAUCUUUAUAAAAUAUACUGUUGAAAUUCGCAUUUUUGGCUGUUUCAAGGCGAUAUUUUUUAUUUUUUCACCUUUUUCGAUUAAAAUGAAUUAUUUAUUCGAUUCAGUCAAGACUGUGAGCAAAAACAAGUGGGACUGCCCCAAAAAACAAAGGGGAAAAAGGAAAAGGAAGUGAGGAGCCCUUUGGUGGAGAUGCCCUUUCUCUCUCCUCUCAUUUUCUCUCUCUAUUGCCAUCUGGGUAGCCUUUGAAUCCUCAUUUCUUCAGGUUUUUUUGAUCUGGGGUCUGAAUUAUUUUCCUCAUUUCGUGUUGUUUUGCGGUAAAAAUUGGAUCUUUUUUGUGUUUUCUGGAUCUCUGUCUGCUCUAGAUUUUGUUGCUAUACAGUUACUAUCUCUCCUUUUCUUCUGAGGCUUGAAUGGGAAGAAAGAGGUAAUUGAUUUUCUGGGGAGAGAGUCUUGAAUAUGAAUGCUGUAUGAUGUGUUGAGUGAUGAUGGUGAUGAGUCUUUUGACCGGGGAAAGAGAAAAUCUCAAAAAGUGAAAAAAAGAGAGAGAGAAAGAUAGUGAGAGAGAGAGAGAGUGGGAUAGAGAGAGAAGGAGGAAAAACAAAAGAUGCGCCCUUUGAAAGGUGCAUUAUUGCUUGUGAAUGUCAAUGAAAGUGAGAUACUUUGAGGCAAUUCUUUCCCCAAUUUCUUGUUUAUCCUUUUUCACACACUUCAUGUGUAGUAUUAGG
rnacentral:lncRNA from 1 species